CCCGGCUCGGCGCAGAGCGUCCUGGGAAGUGUAGUUCCCUCACUUCGCUCCGGACAAGGACAGCACUUAAGUUCUCUGUGCGGCGCGGCCGCGCCGCCGCACUCGGCCCGCAACUCCAGCCUUAGCUGGCCGGGGCAGGGCGACGCCCUCUCAGGAGGGUCUCGGGAGAAGUGCCGAACCCGGGAGGGGCUGGGACUACAUUUCCCAGGAUGCCGUGCGCGGGGGUUCGCUCGGCACUUAAGAGACCCGGGAUUGAGAUCCUCCCUGUCAAUUAGAGGCGGGUGCUGGGGUUCUAUAAGCAGACUGGAAAAAGAGAAUCACCUGGAGGACAACAGAGUUCCAGAGCUGCAGAAGAGGAACUCGGAUUAUAGACAUGAAAAACUCAGCACAUCAGUCACUCCUUUGAGUAGGAAUACAGGUGGCCCCUGGCAGCCAGCCAGCAAGGAAAAAGGACCCUCAGUCCUAUAGCUUCAAGGAACUAAAUACUGCCAACAAUCUGAGUGAGCCUGGAAAUGGAUUCUUACCCAGAGACUUCCGAUAAGCCUCCAACCCACCUGACACCUUGAUUUAGGUCUUGUAAAACCUGAACAGGGAAUGCAGGUGAGCCCACCCAUCCCUGGGAA